CAGUAGCCGCGGGAAUACGAAGGGGGCUAGCGUUGUUCGGAUUUACUGGGCGUAAAGCGCACGUAGGCGGAUCGAUCAGUCAGGGGUGAAAUCCCAGAGCUCAACUCUGGAACUGCCUUUGAUACUGUCGAUCUGGAGUAUGGAAGAGGUGAGUGGAAUUCCGAGUGUAGAGGUGAAAUUCGUAGAUAUUCGGAAGAACACCUGUGGCGAAAGCGGCUCACUGGACCAUAGCUGACGCUGAGGCACGAAAGCUAGGGGAGCAAACAGGAUUAGAUACCCCCGUAGUCCCUGUCUCUUAUAC
rnacentral:rRNA from 1 species